rnacentral:rRNA from 1 species
UACGAAGGGUGCAAGCGUUACUCGGAAUUACUGGGCGUAAAGCGUGCGUAGGCGGUUUGUUAAGUCUGAUGUGAAAGCCCUGGGCUCAACCUGGGAAUGGCAUUGGAUACUGGCAACCUAGAAUGUGGUAGAGGGUGGCGGAAUUCCCGGUGUAGCAGUGAAAUGCGUAGAUAUCGGGAGGAACAUCCGUGGCGAAGGCGGCCACCUGGACCACCAUUGACGCUGAGGCACGAAAGCGUGGGGAGCAAACAGG